rnacentral:lncRNA from 1 species
UCCGCCCUGUGGUUUUGGAGCCCUUCCUCCCGGCGCGCAGGGUGUGGUCCCCGAGAAUAAGAUGAGCAGAAUUAAAGCAGAUCCUGCACCCACUCUGCUGAAAUCCGGCUUCUGAGGCAGCCUCGCCCAGGGCUGGGUGGGCUCAGGCGGCUGCUACUCGGUUCAGGGGAGGUUACGCACGGUGGCUGCCGCGCGCAGGGGAGGCUUCGCUUCCGUACUCCUUGGGCCGGGAGAUCCGAUCUUUGUUCCCUCAAGACUCACACUCUCCAACCGGUCAUUAUCCUCCCACAAAGAUUUAUUUCUAGAAAAAAUUGGCAAGUGCCACAGUUCCCGCCCCUUCAGCUGAACGACUGUGACAGCUCCGUGUUUCAAGUUGAAUGCAGGCGUUAUGUGCCAGAGUCAAUCAUUCAACAAAUAAAGUUCUUAAAAUAACAGCUACCAUUUACUGCACGCUGACUACUUGCCAGGCCCAUGCUGAGUUCUUCAAGCGUAUUUUCAUUUACUCCUAAUAGCAACUCUCGGUGGUAGGUACCAUUAUGCCCUCUAGUUUUCAAAUGAGGAAGCUGAAUAACUUGCCAAGGUCAGAAAGUAACUGUUGAAACUUUGAAGGAAACACAUCUGUCUGACUCUAAAUCCCAUGAGCUUAAUUAGCCCCUGUGAUAGACCAUACUGCAGACAUUUGAGGCAGAUUUGAGGUGGUGAAUGCCUCUGGAUCUGGAGACACUGGGUUCCAGUGCUGGCAUAGGCCCUCUACUAGGGGUCAGACUUUGGUCAGGUUACUUUGGACGGGUUACUGGGCCUCUUCCUAACUUUAUGGCUCCCAGCAUGUUUAAAAGAACAUGACAACAUGAAAAAAUAUGGUAUAAAAGUCAUAGUAUAUUUUAAAUAUUGACAUUUAACUAAAAACACUGUCUCACACACACACAAACUCUAACUUUAUUUGGACAUAAUCUUUGACUCUGCAUUUAGUUAUUCUAAAUCUCUUUCUGGAUUAGAGACAGAAGGAACAUAGACCAUACACGCAUUCUAGAGGAAGAGGAGAGAGAAGAGGAAGCAGGAAGGAGAAUGAAGAAAGUUUCCUCAUCAGCUUUUUCCUCCUCGCUGAUCUUGCCCCUUGUCCAGUACCCAGUGCUUCAUCCAUGGGUUUCAGACACAGAAGUCUGGCGGUUCAUCUGGAGCCUUUCCCAGCCUGACUCAGAGGACUGCCUGCAUCUGUGCAACCUGGCUCAGAGCCUGUCUACGUUUGGGCAGAGCCUAUAUCCCCCUGCCAAACGGGCUAAUGACAGACAACAGUCUAUGUGACCCUAUCUUUCUUCCCCUCCAAGGGUAUGGCCCCAGAUUUCAGCCUCAGAUAGGGGAUCAGGCCCAAAAAUUAGGAGUUGGCAAAAGAAAUAGCCGCAAUAUAGAAAUAUGAUUAAGAUCUGGCUUUGGGGUCACUCUGAAACUGAAUCCCAACUCUGCCAACUGUGUGAUCUUGGAGUUAUCCUCAUUUAACCUCAGAGGAUAUAUUAAUAGCCGUCUUAAAUGGUUGAUAGGAAUUAGGACAGAAAACUAAUAAAACACUUGGCUCACAGUAAACACUCAAUGAGUAGUAACAAUUAUUAUUAAGUAUAGAGAAUCUCUUGUCUGUUUCCCUGGCAAAGGCCAUCAGAAAGCAAAAUAAGGUCUAAAGUGUCAACAUACUGGAUGGUGCCACCAGAACUACUACUACUGUCCCCAUCCCCAGAAAGUUUUCCCACAGUUCCUGCUUCUUUGUA